ACGGCUCAUGUGAUGGUAAGCGAUUACCGUGGCUUAUAGACACCAGCAACACCAGAAGCAUCGCAAGCGCGUUUUGGACCCCAUCCACAAUUCCCCCGAGGAGCUUUGAUCACCUUACUCACCAACGGGAACACAACACUGCUUGAAAGCAGUAUUAUUUAGCUGUGACCUUCUGUAAGGUCGAGGUACUUCCCCAGUCGGGCUACUCCUGAUUUUAAUCAGGAUAUUUCCUAUUGUGGUUAACUAUCAAAUU